AACGAACGCUGGCGGCAGGCUUAACACAUGCAAGUCGAGCGCCCCGCAAGGGGAGCGGCAGACGGGUGAGUAACGCGUGGGAAUCUACCGUGCCCUACGGAAUAGCUCCGGGAAACUGGAAUUAAUACCGUAUACGCCCUACGGGGGAAAGAUUUAUCGGGGUAUGAUGAGCCCGCGUUGGAUUAGCUAGUUGGUGGGGUAAAGGCCUACCAAGGCGACGAUCCAUAGCUGGUCUGAGAGGAUGAUCAGCCACAUUGGGACUGAGACACGGCCCAAACUCCUACGGGAGGCAGCAGUGGGGAAUAUUGGACAAUGGGCGCAAGCCUGAUCCAGCCAUGCCGCGUGAGUGAUGAAGGUCUUAGGAUUGUAAAGCUCUUUCACCGGUGAAGAUAAUGACGUAACCGGAGAAGAGC
rnacentral:rRNA from 1 species